CCUACGGGAGGCAGCAGUGAGGAAUAUUGGUCAAUGGUCGGGAGCCUGAACCAGCCAAGCCGCGUGAGGGAGGAAGGUACAGAGUAUCGUAAACCUCUUUUGUCAGGGAACAAAGACUGGGACGCGUCCCCGGAUGAGUGUACCUGAAGAAAAAGCAUCGGCUAACUCCGUGCCAGCAGCCGCGGUAAUACGGAGGAUGCGAGCGUUAUCCGGAUUUAUUGGGUUUAAGGGGUGCGCAGGCGGCCUGUUAAGUCAGCGGUAAAGGCCCGGGGCUCAACCCCGGCCAGCCGUUGAAACUGGCAGGCUCGAGUUGGAGAGAAGUAUGCGGAAUGCGCGGUGUAGCGGUGAAAUGCAUAGAUAUCGCGCAGAACUCCGAUUGCGAAGGCAGCAUGCCGGCUCCACACUGACGCUGAGGCACGAAAGCGUGGGUAUCGAACAGGAUUAGAUACCCCAGUAGUC
rnacentral:rRNA from 1 species